UGGUACACUUCGAUUUUCCC
rnacentral:piRNA from 1 species